ensembl:lncRNA
CUUCAUUAGCCCUCUUUCGGAACAUUUAUUAUAUUUAAUUAAUAAAAAAGUCCCAUCACUGACCAGCAGGGCUCCCUGACUGGCUUCCCGCUGAUCUGGCACCAGCCGGGCCAAUCAGAGAGAGCCGCCAUGGGUCCGUCAAAUAUAGUCCAUGAGCACGUGUGGCGUGGUGGACAGAACCCUCUGGCUUGUCUUGGGAGACCAACAGCACCUGGUCCAGACAUGGAGAGUCGGAGGGUGUCAUAGCAGUGGGGAGUGGGCAGAAGAGACAACUUAACUUAGAGCUCGCUCAGGCAGAGAGGCAGAGGGAGACAUAGACUGACACACACACACACAGAGACAGACUGACAGUACUGACGGUGAGAGAGAGAGACGGACAGACGGAAACGGAGCGAGACAGCGGUAGAGGAAGAGGAGCAGGACCUCAGCUUGUGGGUUAUCGGCUACAGUGUAAGAAGGACGCCCCGCUGAGCUGCAGGACUGACUGAUAGAGCCUCCAAGGGUUCAGAGAGCACAUUGAACCAGAGCAAUAUGGAGGUCAGAGUUCACCGAACACGAGCAGCAACGUUUUACUCCAUUUGUCAACUAUUUGCAGUUCUCUGCGGACCUUUACUUCAUGUCCAGGGUCAAGCCUCCAGACACGUCGUGGUCCUGCUGCAGGGGGACUUUCCUCGCCCGUGGAUCCGCCGGUCAGAGGAUCCGAAGAGCCAAGGUCAGGACGAGAACAUGCCUGGGGCUAACACCGUGGUAAUGUGUCAAGGCAGGCAGGGUGGCUUCAGAGGCGUCUCCCCGGCGAUGGAAGCGUGUUAAUACACAGGCGAGCCCUGUGAAGCGCGGUUUGGAAGGCGCGGCACCGUACUCCCAUCCUAAUCGUGGACUCGCAGCCUGCUACGACAGAACGCCAAGCCGUGUGUUAUCUCCCAGCGAUUCGUCUCCAGCCCUCCCAGUCACUCCAUUCCCACUUGUAAAUUCCCGGCGCUGGGAGGCGCGUACUCUCAGGGUGUUGUUGUUAGUGUUGUUGAUCACCGUUCAAGUCGUCCUUUGUAUACAAGUAGCUUCCCGCAAAAAAAACACAUUUCAUAAAAAAAACACAUUUCUGGAUUAUCAUUUUUAUUUUUGCUUUUUAAGGCAUUUCUGCUUCAGCUGGACUCUCUUGGCGUCCUACAUAAUUUGUUGCUUCAAACACUUUAUUUUCUUUUUUUUAAUCCAUUUGGGGACAUGUCUGCUUCAUCUUGACUCUGUCGGCGUCUUAAUUAUUUUGUUGCCUCAAACAGUUUUUUGUCAAACUCCAGACACAAACAAUAUUUUGUCCAACUCUAGACCGAACUCCGGCCAGAUCCACUCUCCCUCUGCCAGCUGCUUAUUCUCCAGUGACUUUGAGCCACCUUCAAGCCGGACUCGUAAAAGCUGGCUAACUGUCAGCCGCUGUCAGCACAGUCUGAGUGGUGGACGGGACAUGUCAUCCUAGCAAAAUUUAAAACGCCUUCUGAGGGCCCCUGGCUGACAGACUGCCACUGGCUCCCGUCCCCAGGCAGAUUUAAUGUCCCCCGCUACUCCUCCAGGUCCGCACCCACCACAGCAGCACAUCAAGAUGUGUAUUACCAUCUCUCUCUCUCCCCCCUCCCCUCUGUCUCUUUGUAUCCCUCUAUUUCUUGUUCUCUCAUCAUACCCUGUCUGUCUGUCUGUCUCUGCUGGCUGUCUCUUCUGUCUCGUUCUCUCUCUCGUUCUCUCUCUGGUUCUCUCUCCCUCUCGCUCUCGCUCUCGCUCUCUCUCUCUCUCUCUCUGCUAGCAAGGGAUACAGGUUGCGGGCAUGUUGCAGACACCAAACCUCAAAUCCCCACAUGAUUGACCCAAUAGGUCAAUAUUCUGACCUCUCUGUCUGUUAUGCAAGGCAGCUGAAUUCCGCCGGCAGACCUCAUUUGUAUUAUUUGUUUUGCUCUUUCCAUCCUCCUCCUCUAGUGAUAAAACGCUACCACAAGAGCAUUUGUGAAAUACAUUAUUUUAAUGAACGC